rnacentral:rRNA from 1 species
AGUAACACGUAAGUAAUCUACCUUCGAGUGGGGAAUAACGUCCGGGAAACGGACGCUAAUACCGCAUAAUGCAGCGGCAUCGCAAGAUGACAGUUGUUAAAGGAGCAAUUCGCUUGAAGAGGAGCUUGCGGCAGAUUAGCUAGUUGGUAAGGUAACGGCUUACCAAGGCUACGAUCUGUAACCGGUCUAAGAGGACGGUCGGUCACACUGACACUGAAUAACGGGUCAG